GGACCCGCACAAGUAGUGGAGCAUGUGGUUUAAUUCGAAGAUACGCGCAGAACCUUACCAACACUUGACAUGUUCGUCGCGACUCUAAGAGAUUAGAGUUUUCGGUUCGGCCGGACGAAACACAGGUGCUGCAUGGCUGUCGUCAGCUCGUGUCGUGAGAUGUUGGGUUAAGUCCCGCAACGAGCGCAACCCUCACUUUUAGUUGCCAUCAUUAAGUUGGGCACUCUGAAAGAACUGCCAGUGAUAAGCUGGAGGAAGGUGGGGAUGACGUCAAGUCCUCAUGGCCCUUAUGUGUUGGGCUACACACGUGCUACAAUGGUACUUACAAUGGGAUGCAAAGAGGUGACUCCAAGCUAAUCCCUAAAAGAUACCUCAGUUCGGAUUGCACUCUGCAACUCGAGUGCAUGAAGCUGGAAUUACUAGUAAUCG
rnacentral:rRNA from 1 species